rnacentral:lncRNA from 1 species
UCUUGCCUCUGAAACCCGUCUCCAUUUAAUUGACCUCCCUCCUAUUGAUAACCCUCCACCCCAUGAUCUCUUCCUCAAAUCCGCAGAACACUACAUACUGCUUUUCAUUGAAAGCUACAUCCCUCACGUCAAAGACGCCAUCACCCACCUCAUGUCAUCUCGCUCUUCCCCAGACUCAGUCCCACUCGCCGGGUUAGUCCUUGAUUUCUUCUGUCUUCCCAUGAUUGAUGUGGCCAACCAACUAGGCCUCCCUUCGUACCUAUACUUCACCUCUGGUGCUGGUUUUCUUGGCCUCAUGCUCUCCCUCCCAACUCGCCAUAGCCAAAUCGGCACUGAGUUUGAAGACUCGGAUCCUGAUCUGGAGCUCCGGAGUUUCGUCAACCCAGUUCCUGUUCGCGUUUUGCCUGAAGCCGUGAGUGACAAGCAUGGUGGUUACGCUGCUUACAUAAAGAUUGCUCAGAGGUUCAGAGAGGCUAGGGGCAUUAUAGUAAAUACGUUUUCUGAGUUGGAGCCUUACGCCGUUGAGUCGUUCGCCGAUGGUCAGACCCCCCCGGUGUACACGGUGGGACCGGUUCUUGACCUCGGGGGUCAGGCUCAUGCCGGUUCAGACCGGGUUGACCGCAGUAAGAUCAUGGGGUGGUUAGACGCUCAGCCAAAAUUGUCUGUGGUGUUCCUCUGCUUUGGAAGCAUAGGGGCCUUCGACGCGCCCCAGGUGAGGGAGAUCGCGCUUGGGCUCGAGCGCAGCGGCCACAGGUUCCUCUGGGCCCUGCGUCUGCCGGGGCCGGAUGGCAAACUCGGUGGAAGCUCUGAUGGCUCGGAACUCAGCGAGAUCUUGCCUGAGGGGUUCCUGGAUCGAAUCGGAGAGAGGGGAAUGAUCUGCGGUUGGGCACCGCAAAUGGAAGUCCUGGCCCACAAAGCUAUAGGAGGGUUCGUAUCCCACUGCGGGUGGAACUCCAUCUUAGAGAGCAUAUGGAACAGUGUACCGAUGGCGACCUGGCCCAUGUAUGCAGAACAACAGCUGAAUGCCUUUGGACUGGUGAAGGAACUGGGAUUAGCAGUGGAAUUGAGACUGGACUAUCGACAGAGUGGGGGAGAAGUGGUAGUGGCGGAAGAGAUAGAUGGUGCAAUAAGAUGUGUGAUGGAGCAUGAUAGCAUGGUGAGGAAGAAGGUGAAGGAAAUGGGAGAGAUGAGCAGGAGGGCUGUGAUGGACGGUGGAUCUUCCUCCAAUUCCCUUGGACGGCUGAUAGCUGAUAUCAUCCCCAUUGACUAGUGUAUCGCUUAAUCUGAUCGUGUGGUUUUUCUCCUUACCUUGAGAAUUCACUGUUAAAUGGUUGAGUUGACUGGGGGUUGGGCAUUGCGAGCCAUGUACGAAUGUGGUCCACCGUCCACCAUACGGUCCAUACCACAGUUAUAUAUUAGAUAUUAUGAGGAUGAACUGUCAAGUCAUCAUUUUAUCUUAUCAAUUCUGAUUUAAGGAGUUCCAACUUCCAAGUGGGUAUGACUCCCAAGUAUAUUGGACUUGAUAAAAAUAUAAAUUGGGGUGGAUAGAACAAAAGAUUGCGUCGUGCAUGCUGAAAUCACGAAAUUGAUAUAAAUAUUUGUAUUUCUUUGCCGAUAUUAUCAAGACUAGAAGGUUAUUUAGACUUUGUUUUGCUCUAUAUUUAAAAUUCAAUACGACAUAUUCAUAGUCCAUUCCUGGUUUUGAUAUUGAUACCUCGACGAGAACAAGCAGCUAUCAUAAUACUUUUAUCUUUGAUUGUAGUUAAUUACAAGGCUAUAUUGGCAUAUGUCAUCCAAAAAUCUUAAUCACAUACUCUGUGUGCAUAUGCAUCUUCGUUGGUUAUUUGAUCCGCUUAAAAAUGUGUUAAGAUUUUAUUUUUUCAAAUAUUGUAGCGUAUGUGUUGGGAAUUUCGUUUUCUUCGGUUGACGAAACAGCAUUGCAUUGCCCUGUUUUGAAUAACAAAGAUAAUGUCCACCAAAAACAGGAGCAGAGAAAAUUAGUAGAAGGAAAAAACGGUGGUCGGAACAAGGAUUUUUUAUAAGAUUAUGGUAGUUUUAAAAAAUAAAUUUUAAAUUAUCGUUAUAUGAAAAAUAAUUCUAAAUCUAUCGUAAUUUUGUCAAAAUAGGAAAUAGAAAAUAAUUUGUAAAUGAAAAAACAUUUCUUCAAAAAACGAUUUAUGUAUCUUGAAAAGACGAUUUUCACUAAAAAAAAUUAAAAAGUGAGAAAUCGUCUUUUUAAAAGACGAUUUCAAAAAAAAAAAAUCAAGUGAGAAAUCUUCUCUUAAAGAGACGAUUUCCAUAAAAAAAAAUUGUGUAUGUGAGAAAUUCUCACUUAAAAGAAAAAAAAAAUCAAAUGAGAAAUCGUUUCUUGAAGAGAUGAUUUUCACACAAAAGUGAGAAAUUUUCACUUAAAAUAAUAAUAAUAAUAAUAAUAAUAAAUAAAAAAAGUCCAAGUGGAAAAUCGUCUCUUCAAGAGACGAUUUCCAUAUCACUUUUAAAAGUUAGAAAUUCUCACUUAAAAUAAAAAUAAAAACCCCUUCAAAAAUCCAUUUUUUCAUUCUUUAUUCUAUUUAUACCAUAAUACAAUUAUUAUAAAUAUAUAUUAUAAAAUUAAUUAAUUUUAUUUACUAAAUUGAAUAUAAGAUAAAUAAUCUAUUAUUUUUUUUCUUACUUUGAAAUUUAAAAAAAAGACUAUUAUCAAUUUAUGUGAAAAAUAAGUUUUAAAAACAAUUGUUAUUAAUUUAUUAAAUAAUUAUUUAGUAUAUUAUUUUAAAAAAACCAAAGGGGAAAUCAUCUCUUGAGACAAUUUCCACAUCAUCUUUAAAAAUGAGAAAUUCUCAGUUUUUUUUUUUAAAAAUCCUUCAAAAAUCCUUUUUUUCAUUCUUUAUUCUAUUUAUAUAAUAAUACAAUUAUUAUUUACUCUUAUAAAAAAUCCGAUGGAACAAGAGGAUGCAUGGCAAUUCCAAACCCCUGUCUAGUCUCUCUUCCACGUUCCCACUCCCUCCCAACCCCAAACCCUAACUCCAUAACCCUUAAUAACGACCGAUAUUUCGCCAACCACCCGACACUUUCACUCAUCGACCAAUGCUCCGAAACGAAACAAUUGAAGCAAAUCCAUGCCCAGAUGCUCCCUACUGGUCCCUUCUUCGACCCCUUCUCCACCAGUAGACUCAUCACCGCCGCCGUUCUUUCCCCCUUCCCCAGCCUCGAUUAUGCCCAGCAAGUGUUCGACCAAAUUCCCCACCGAAAUCUCUACACUUGGAACACUCUCAUUCGCGCUUAUGCUUCCAGUUCUAAUCCCCAUCAGAGCCUCUUAAUCUUCAUACGAAUGCUUCAUUAAUCUCCUGAUUUUUCUGACAAAUUCACUUUACCUUUUCUGAUCAAAGUCGCGUCGGAACUUGAGGAGUUGUUUACAGGGAAGGCUUUUCAUGGAAUGGUGAUUAAGGUGUUGUUGGGUUCGGACGUCUUCAUUCUUAAUUCUCCGAUUCAUUUUUACGCCAAGUGUGGAGAGUUGGGUUUGGGGUAUAGGGUUUUUGUGAAUAUGCCUAGGAGGAAUGUUGUUUCUUGGAAUUCGAUGAUUACAACUUUUGUGCAGGGGGUUGUCCGGAGGAGGCAUUGGAGUUGUUUCGGGAAAUGGAGAGGCAGAAUGUGAAACCUAAUGGCAUAACAAUGGUGGGGGUUUUGGCAGCUUGUUCCAAGAAGUCGGAUUUUGAGUUUGGGAGGUGGGUGCAUUCGUAUAUUGAGAGGAACAGGAUUGGUGGGAGCUUGACUUUGAUUAAUGCUAUGCUUGAUAUGUAUACAAAGUGUGGGAGUGUUGAGGAUGCAAAAAGAUUGUUUGAUAAGAUGUCACAGAAGGAUAUUGUCUCAUGGACGACUAUGCUUAUUGGGUAUGCUAAAAUAGGGGAGUAUGAUGCGGCUCAGGGUAUUUUUGAUGCAAUGCCUAAUCAAGAUACCGCUGCAUGGAAUGCUCUCAUAAUUGCUUAUGAACAGUGUGGUAAGCCAAAUGAGGCUUUGUAGCUUUUCCAUGAAUUGCAGCUGAGCAAAACUGCAAAGCCUGAUGAGGUCACUCUUGUUAACACACUUUCGGCUUGUGCUCAGCUGGGAGCAAUGGAUUUAGGUGGAUGGAUCCAUGUGUACAUAAGGAAGCAUGGAAUGAAGUUAAACUGCCAUCUCAUUACCUCACUUAUUGACAUGUACUGUAAGUGCGGGGAUCUGUAGAAGACACUUGUGGUAUUUCAUUAAGUGGAAAUGAAAGAUGUGUUUGUUUGGAGUGCCAUGAUUGCAGGUUUGGUAAUGCAUGGGCAUGGGAAGGAUGCAAUAGAUUUGUUUUCAAAAAUGCAAGAGGCUUAGGUCAAGCCCAAUGCUGUGACUUUUACUAAUAUACUAUGUGCUUGUAGCCACGCGGGAUUAGUGGAGGAAGGCAGGACUUUCUUCAAUCAAAUGGAGCUGGUUUAUGGGGUUUUGCCUGGAGUCGAGCAUUAUGCUUGUAUGAUUGAUAUUCUUGGUCAAGCAAACCUGUUGGAAGAAGCUGUGGAAUUGACAGAGAAAAUGCCAAUGGCCCCAACUGCUUCUAUAUAGGGGGCCCUGCUUGGAGCCUGUAUUCAUCCUGAUUCCACAACAGCACAUCUACGAGUUUAGCGUUCAUCGUAUCUUCCCAAUCCAGAGCCAUACCAAAUUGUGUAGAAACCCAUCCAUCCCUAGUUAGCUCUACUCAUCUCGGGCUCCUUUAGAAUGCUUCUUCUACUCAUUUCUCGGAAUUGAAGCCUCUAUAUAGAACCCAUUCAUGUCCUGAGUAGCAACAACCAGUAGUUGCAUCUUUAUCAGGUCUCAUUGUCGUCUUUCUCAUUUCUGUGUUCGCAUGGCUUGUGUGGGGGGUAUCCCUCCACAUGUCAUUCUCAAACUUAAGACCCCUUAGCUGACCAGGACAAAACACAUAACCCAUUUGGGAUCACCUCGUUUGGACCAAGAUAAAUUCUGUUUAACACCAGAAGUGAGAUGUUUCCUUUCUUCCACAAGCCCAAACAUAAUAGACAGGCUGGGCUCAUUAGACUCUUAGACGGGAAAAUUAAUCCAGUCAAGUCCUCAAGAUUUCUGGCAUGCGUGAUCAACCACGCCUGAUGUUUAAGCACCAGCCCAGACACCUGACAUUUGAGUGGCGGACAGGACUCUAUUUAUACCCAAUAGUCAAUGUCAAUUAAUUGUUACAUAUAAUCCCAUACAUUGGUAGGCUAAAUGGAUAGUUAGCUACAUAGUUCGAGAUUUUGGCAUGUUAGCAGUUGGCACCAAUUAGCCGCCCUUAUCUGAUAUGAUUGGCUAGCGGCCCUAAGGGCAAUCAUCAUUAUAAGAAACGCUAGAGUGCAUAGUCAACACUACAGUAACGGUGUCAUAAGCUCUAUAUAAACCCCUCAAAAAGCAUUAAUAAGGCACACACGCAUAUACGCUCAUUCUCUCACACAAAAUAGUUAGAGUUAUCCUUGUCUGACUUAAGCUUCAAAGGGGUCUGUCUGGACCACCCAUCCGGACAUCCUUUUGUGCAGGGAAGAAGUCUAUCUGAUUCUAGUGCAGUUGGACGAACUCCUCAAAAACCAUGAAGAAGGGAAGAAGUCUGCCUAACUCCAGUGAAGUCUGAUGAACUUGACUCUGGUUGGCUCGACACCAAUAGCAUUCAUGGCCACCCCAAAGCCUAUCCACAACCCUCCACCAAAAUACCUCAUCUAUCAAAUUUGAAUCUCAAGCCACAUAACUCCGCACCUACUCUAUGCCUAAAAAAAAAAAACACCUUAUAGCCAAUUCACCAUUGCCUCGAUCCUUUGUACCCAUCGAAUUGAUCACCACACCACACUCGACUUAUCCUUCAUACCAUACUCACCACCAUCAACCUAACCCACAUUGCCCACCAAGCACUCCUCAUUUUCCACACAACACUGGCUACUGUUUAACAUGACAUUAUUACCGAUUGAGAGACUUCCAGUAAAUCUCCAAUUGAUUUUGGUUUGGACGAAGGCUACUAAUCUAGACCCGAAAACCAUCUUUGUUGAUUGUUCCUUGCGCUUCGGUGGGUCUCUAGAGUUUAGAUGAAGCUGGAAAACUGGUGAAGCAAGGGGUGCUUAAGCCUGAGGAUUUCAUAUUCUUUGUUGGAUAUGUUGGGUGGCAGUUGGAUCAGUUGAGAGAGGAGAUGGGAUCAGACUAUGGGUAUGUGGCUGCAUAUAGCCCAUACGUGAUCGAUGGGGUCUUAACAGAGUCUUCCUCUGGUGUAUGGGAUGAGGUUUUUGUAGUCAAAAGGGAAAUCAUUAUUUUGAACUGAACCCGAUGCCUAAGCAGGAUAUGUAGUCAGUUUUGAGCCUACAGAAUUUAAGAAAUUGCUCGCCAAUCGGGGAGGAUAUUACGUCAACUUGUGAUGAUAGAAGCUUGGAUUCUCAUGUGGCACAAGGAGAGAAGACAAAAUGAAUGAUCAAACUCAAAAGGACAAGCCCUUGUUCCUGCCAACUUAUCUCUAUCUUUGGGACCCAUUCUCUCUCUCUAGCAUGGCAUGCAUGGCCACUCUAAAAGCCUACGCGUCUCACUCCUUAUAUUUUCAUGCAUGCCUUCAAAAACUGAUUUUCAAAAAUCUUGUUUUGAAAUAAUUUUAAUUCUUCAAUUUUUCUUUCUUGAUUUUAAAUAAAUCCAAUUUUAAUAAAUCAAUAGCUACCAUUUUCCACUAGGCAUGCAUUUUUUUUUCCUUGAUUUUUAAUAAUUUUCAAUUUUCAUGUUUUGAAUGAGCAUGAAUAAAAUUCUAUAAUUCAAAAUAAUGGAAUUUAUGAAAUUAAUUCAUGCUAAAAUAAAUCGGGCUUUGGCGGGGCCCAACAUAUGGGAUUUUCUCGUUCGUUGAUUGAUUGCUGUGCUUGAUUGACUUGCUUUGCUUUGUGACAUAUGCGAUUAUUCUGUAUUCGUUUACUAACCUUUGUUUUCCAUGAAGCAAUCAACUCACUACUCAAGUACACACAUUGAUUUUCUUAUUCAUUUGAUUAUUUUUAGAUUGAUAUUAUUUUAAUAUCCAUAUUUAAUCUAUCAAUUACCACACUUGCUUUAACUUAAUUAGUAGAGACCUAAUUCUUAGGACUAAGAGGGGUGUUAUGGCCUAUCACUAUACCUUCCCAAUAGGUAACCUGACUCCUAAACCCAUACUCAGUUUUUCACAGACCUAUUUUUCCUUUAGGAGUCACAUUUAAGGGUUUUCUUUCUUAUUUUGUUUUUCCCUUUUAAAAUAAAACAAAAAUAAGUGGUGACUCCAAAAACUUUUAAAAAAUCAAUUUUAAAAAUAACAAGCAAGUCUCGCCAUAAUGGAAACGCAUGCGUAGAAACGCGGGGUCCCUCCCGGCGCACACUUACAUAUAUAUUAUGUAAUGACCAAAUUAAUUUUGGGGGUAAAAUACCAAAAAAAAGUAAUUAAAUAUUUUUAGUAAGGGUAGAAAGGUCAUUUUAUAAUUAACAAUCCUAGGUAUAAAUUAUAUUUCUUUUUCUUUUUUGUCUUUUCUAUUUAGAAAACUUUACUAACAAAAAAUAAAAAAAUUGUAGAACAUAAGACUGAAGGUUUGAAGGUCGCAUUUUUUCAGGUAAAAUUUUAAUCCCUAAAUUAAUAUAUUAGAUUCGUUAGUUAGUUUUGAACACAUUCAAUAUUCUUUAGAAAUUUUCAAUUUAGACCAAAGCCAAUUUAUUUAAUUUUUCUUUUAAGAUCAAAAUAUUGAAAAAUUAAGAGUAUGGGUUGAUUUAUCGAUGAAAAUUGAGAAAUUUUGAAAGUCAGGAAAUUUUAAGUUUUCAGAUGAAUAAACCUAAAAUAAAAUAAAAUAAUAAUAAUAAUAAUUUGUGACUUAAUGCACGCUAGAAGUGUGUUAAUAUAAUUUAUAUACUUAUAAAGGCUUUGAUGCACUGUACAUUUGGGGGUAAUUUGGAGAAAGAAAAUAAUAAAUAAAUAAAAUAAAAACUAUUUUGCAGGAAAGUGAUUUUAGUGGAAGGCACAACUUUUAUGAAAAUUCGGGAGACUCACUCUUUAAAUUAUUAUUGAUUAGAAAGUCAAAAACAAUAUAGAUGAUAAAAGAAAUAGUCAACAUAGGAUUUUUUUUUAUUUCAAUACUUAAAUAAUUACUUUCAUCAAAAUUAUUAAUUUUUUUAUUUAUAUAAUUUUGAUAUUUAUUACAGAUAAAACAUAAAUAUUUAAUUCAUUUUAAAUUUUGCAAAUAUAUAUACAUACACACGGGGGUUGAAGAGAUGGGCUUGGGCUUAAUGAUUUGGGCUAACAACUAAGUUUUGGAAAAAGGGGGAAAUAAUAGGUUGGACCGAUAGUUGGGCUAAUUCAAUGCUUGUUCAACUCAGUUUUGGGAGGCUCCAAUCGAUGGUCCAAUUGGUUGAACUCAAUUCAAUUCGAUUUUUUAAGUUUGGUAAACACCAAUUGGUGUAUUGGAACGAGGAGGAAAACCUUAGCUCCAUUACACUCAAUAUUCAUCGAUAUUUUGCGAAUCGCUGGAUACUAUCACUCCUCAACCGAUGCUUGGAAAGGAAACAAUUGAAUAUUCUUCCUCGAUCUCCUCUUUUUAAUAUUAGUUGAUCCGUUAUAAGUUUCUUAACUUGGAUUGGAUUUUUAAUUUUUAAUUAUUUUUAAAAAUUAGUAAAUUUUAUGUAUCAAAUAUGCUUUGAUUUAAAUUUAUUUAUCUAAUAAAAAAAUAGAAAAGUUAAAAAAUAAGAAAAAAUUAUUUUAGAGAGAUCAUAAUUGAGUUACUUUAUCUAUUUUUUAUUUAUUUAUAAUUUUUGUUAAAAUUAAUAAAUUAUACCUUGAUAGUUUUCUUUGAUUUUUAAAAUAAGUGAAAUAGGUAAAAAACUUGUUAGUUUCUUGUUGGAGGCUUUUUUUUUUUUUUUUAUUCAUAACUAAAUAAAAUUGUAUUUAUAUUGAAUUUUGGAGGAUAACAAUUUAGUAAUGGGAGAUUAAGUAGUGAUAUUUUAUAUUAUUAAAAUAUAUAAUUUAUAAUAAAUAAAAAUAAUAUAUUAUUUAAUUUCAUAUUCUUUUUUUUUUAUAUCAAUAGUAUUUUAAAAUAUAGAAUAAUAAUUUUUAGUUUUUAAUCAAUCAUUUAAUAAAAAUUAAUUCUUAUGAUAUAAGGAAGCUGAGUAUAUUUUGAAUUCUAAUUUUAUUAUAUUAGAUAACUAAAAACAAAAUAAUUAAUUUCAAUAUAAAUCAAUUAAAAAUUGCAUUUUGAUUUAGUGUAAUUCUCAUAAAUAAAUUAAAAUAGAUUUUUAUUUAAAAUAUUUAUUUACUACAUGAAAGAACUAAGGAUAAAAAAUUUACUAACAAAAAUUCUUAUUUUAUAAAAUGGAUAAAUAUGAAAUAAAAAAGUUAUUAAAUUGUUAAAAUAAAUUUAUUAAAUUUGAAUUUUAUAAAUUAAUUGAAAUUGAUAUUUUAUAAUUUUGAUUUUACUGUAUCAAGGAUUUAAUUCAAAAGAAGUGCUCUGAUUUUUUUUUAAAUGAAAUUUUAUUAUAAAAUUCAUUCAAUAAUAAAAAUAUUAGUUUUAUAAAAAAAAGUUUAAAAUUGAAUACAAAAAAUUAUAAAUAAUUUAUAAUCUAAUUUCAUCUUUUUUUUAAUGUGAGGGUAAAUUUUGAAUAUCUUGAAGACUUUAAUUUUGCCAAUUACUAUAUAUAUAUAUAUUUCGUAACAAUUUAAGAAAUAAUAAAUAUCAUGUGUCUAAUUUGCAAGUUAGAAAAAAAAAAUUUUAUAAGGUGUUUAAUUUUUUUAAUAUAUAUGAAAAAAAAUGUACAACAUGCUUAUUAUUUUGUAAGUGAGAAACACAAAAAAAAAAAUCAAAAUAAUGUAGGUUUGAAAUAAUGAAUAAUAUUUAUUAUACAUUAAGUAAGUUUCUAAGGUUUUUUUUAAAAUUUUUUUAAGGUAUUUAAAAAAAUAUUUAUUAUAUAUUAUGUAUUUUUUGAAAAAAAAUAAUAAUAUUUGAUGAGUGUUUAAAAAAUAUUUACUUUUAAAAUGUAUUUGAUAAUAAUUUUUGCAAUCAUUUAUCUCUAAUAUUUAAUUUGUUAGAGAAAAAUGAUUAGAAAAUCAUUCAAUUUGGUCUUACUACUAAAUAAACAAGAGAAUGGAGAGAUAGAAAAAACGAGAAUAUGGUUUUUUUAUUUAAGGAAAAAGGGUAUUUUAGGGGAUUUUUUUAAUUGAACCAAAGGGAAUUAUGUAAAUAUGAUCAAUUUACAAAAUAUAGAUGAAAGGAGAAGUUAAAAAAAAUAAUUAUCAUUUUAUGCUUGGGAAUGGUGCCCACUUAGCAUUAUUCCAAACUAUCCGUACAUAUGUUUUGGUCUUAAAAUAACACUAUUUUAAUUUUAAAGUAAUAUUACUUUGCUAUGAAAGUAACACUCUUUUAAACUUAAGGUACCUUUGCUAAUUGAAUGAUGUACCAUCACAUAUAAGGGCAUUUUAGGAUAAUAUAAGGUAAGACAUUAAAAUGCACUCUUGGGGUUUUCUUUUCAUCCGGAUUUUGUAAACAAGUCAUGUUUACAUAGUUCCCCAUAGAAAUAUUAUUCACCUUUCUAUUUUAUCAUUAAGUUUUGAAUUCGAAUUUGUGUGAUGGGAGGACAUUGGGCAAUUAUGUGGCCCAAGCACAAUUCUCCAUGUCAAAGUCAAUAAAGGUGGGAACAACCGAUUAGCAGGAAAAAUAUAACGAAGAAGGUCGCUGCACGGAGAGAAGUAAGAAGAAGAGACUAGACAACUGAGAAUUGCAAUGAAGAAAGCAGAGCUGGUGUUUGUCCCAGUAGCAUUCCGCGGUCACCUUGUAUCAACUGUAGAAUUCGCAAAACGCUUAAUCCAAAGGGAUGAUCGCUUUUCAGUCACCAUCCUCUCCAUCAACUCCCCAUUCGGCCCCGACGCGCAUGGAUACAACAAAUCACACCUUGCUUUUGAACCCGGUCUCCGUUUGAUCGAUCUCCCUCCACAGGAUCCCCCUCCACCUCACCUUAAAAAAUCCAUUGCACAAUUCCUGUCAGUUUACAUUGAGAGUUACAUUCCUCAUGUGAAAGACGCCAUCAUCAACCUCAAAUCAACUCGGCCUCUCGCUGGGGUAGUCCUUGAUUUUGUAUGCAUCUCAAUGAUUGAUGUGGCCAAUGAACUGGGUCUUCCCUCAUAUCUGUUUCUAACCUCUGGUGCUGCUCUUGUUAGCCUCAUGCUCUACCUUCCCACCCGCCAUACACAAAUCAGCGCUGCCUUUGAGGACGCGGAUCCUGAGUUGGUGAUUCCAGGUUUCAUAAACCCAGUUCCGGUUAGCGUUUUGCCUGAAGCACUGAGGGACAAGCAUGGUGGUUAUGCCUCUUUUAUAAAGGUUGCUCAGAGGUUUAGAGAGGCUAAGGGCAUUAUAAUCAAUACAUUUACUGAGUUGGAGCCUUUCUUAGUGGGUUCCUUCUCCGACGGCCAAGCUCCUCCAGUGUACACGGUCGGACCAGUGCUUGAUCUCGAGGGUCAGGCCCAUUCUAGUGCAGACCGGGCUGACCAUGAUAAGGUCAUGGCCUGGCUUGACACUCAGCCGGAAUCCUCUGUGAUGUUCCUAUGCUUUGGGAGUCUGGGCACCUUCGAUGUACCCCAGGUGAGAGAGAUCGCGCUUGGACUUGAGCGCAGCGGCCACAGGUUCCUGUGGUCUUUACGUCGGCCACCGCCAGAUGGGAAGUUCGGUAGCCCAAGUGAAGGCACGAAUCUGGAUGAGAUGUUGCCAGAAGGGUUCAUGGAGCGGAUCGGAGGAAAAGGAAUGAUCUGCGGUUGGGCACCGCAAGUGAAAGUUCUGGCCCACGAAGCCAUUGCUGGGUUUGUAUCCCACUGCGGGUGGAACUCAAUCUUAGAAAGUGUGUGGAACAGUGUGCCAAUAGUCACAUGGCCACUUUACGCAGAACAAAAGUUGAAUGCAUUUGAGAUGGUGAAAGAACUAGGAUUGGCAGUGGAGAUGAGAUUAGACUCCAGGUACGACGGAGAUGUUGUGAUGGCGGAGGAGAUAGAUGGAGCCGUAAGACGUGUGAUGAAGGCUGAUAGCACAGUGAGAAAGAUGGUGAAAGAGAUGGGAGAGAAGAGUAGGAGGGCUCUGACGGAGGGUGGAUCUUCAUACAAUUCGUUUGAACGGUUGAUCCAUGCGAUGAUAAAUACCCGGUAACUAGUACUUGCUUAUUGUCUUUCUAUUAUCAAUUCCAGAUGUUUGGAAGUGACUAAGGGUCCUCCAUAAAAUUAUUCUCAAAAAAUUAUUUUUGAGAACAGUUUUUAAUUGUAUUUUAUUUUUUAGAAUAAAGACCUGACAACAGUUUUUAAUUGUGUUUUAUUUUUUAGAAUAAAGACCUAUUUGGAAUUUGGAAUGCUUUCUAACUUAUAUUUUGUAUUUUUAAAAAUUAAUUUUAUAUCUAAGUGUUUUAUUUUCAAUUAUUUUUUUAUAUUUAAUCUAUUGUUUUUAAAAUAGUCAAAUUCUAAAUUUAAAACAAACCAACACUUAACUCAACUCUUAUGUAUAACUAGAUAUAAAACACAUUAUACUAAGAACCCAUUUGAUAGUGAUUUUAGAAAAUAUUUUUAUAUUUUUUAACUGUUAAAAUGGUUAGAAAUAUUUUUAAAAAUCACCAUCAAAGUGUAUUUUAAGAGUACGUCUGACAGUAAUUAUAAGAAAUAUUUAUAACAUUUUUAACACUUAGAAAAUGCAAAUUUUCAUAUAAAUAUUUUAAACGCUUUUUAGAAUCUCUAUCAAACGCACUCUAAAUCUAACAAAAAUAAUCAUUUGAAAAAAAACCGUUCAAAUAUUUCUUCAUGUUGCAUACAUGUUUUACACAAUUUAGGUAAUGAGUCAUUUCACUUUAAUUAACUAUCAAUAAGAUAAGGCACUUGGUUAAAUUAUUGGAAAAUACUAUAAUUUUGUGGUGUUUAAUGAAUAAAAUAUUUGAACCAUUGAAUAUAUAUAUGAUAAAAUCUAAACUAUUGAAUAAGGAUAUAACUUUAUUAAGACCAAAAUAUUAAGAUACAAAUAAAUCAAAUAAGGAUGUAAAAAAUAUAACCUAAAAAUAUAUACUUCACACCAUAUGAUUGAUUUUGUUAGGUACAAAAAAAAAAGUCCUUUAAUAUAUUAGCCAAACCCUCAAUUAUAACCAUAAUUAAUUUAAAUAACAAAAACAUGUCCCUUCCACAUGCUAUUUAUUUUUAUUUUUAAUGAAAAGAAACUAUAGAAUAUCUACCUAAGGGAUUGAAAGACGAAUCAUGAACCGUAAUGUUACAAGAAACCAAUGGAGCUCAAUUUGGUGGAGUCUUGCUGGUAGGGAGAGGAUCCGCACCCUCCUCUCAUGUUCGUUUCUAAUCCACUUCCCCGUUCUUGCUGCCUAUGCAAUGAAGUCCAGAGAGUGUCACAUCAUUCUUUAGAUAUUUUAGGUUGCGGGUCCUCUUCCAUACACUUCUGGGACCGUGAUAUUGAUACCUAGAAUUUAAGGGCUUUGACAAUUUGCCUUCUAAAUAAAAUAUCUCUGAAGUCUGAUAUAGGAAUUUCUUUCCUCUUUGUGACAAGGGAUUGUGCUAUCUUGAAUGUGUGGAAGUACGAUCAUGUGAUUUAGCAGAAAUUAUGGAGGUUAAAUAUUCUUGCACCUGGGGGUAGGAAGCAGAAAGAUUAAAGAGCAGACAACGGAGAUAAAGAAAAUAGAGCUGGUGUUCGUCCCAACUCCCGCCGCUGGCCACUACAUAUCCGCCGUGGAAUUCGCAAAGUGCUUAAUCCACACGGACGAUCGCUUUUUCUGUUACCAUCCUCCAAAUGAGUUGAUCACUCAAUCCUUAUCCGGAUAUAUACAACAAAUCUCUUCUUGCCCCUGAAACCCGUCUCCAUUUCAUUGACCUCCCUCCUAUCGAUCACCCUCCAUCCCAUCACCCCAUGAUAUCUUCCUCAAAUCCAUUGAACACUACACAUUGUUUUCAAUUGAAAGCUACAUCCCUCACGUCAAAUACGCCAUCACUCACCUCAUGUCAUCUCGCUCUUCCCCACACUCAGUCCCACUCGCCGGGUUAGUCCUUGAUUUCUUCUGUCUGCCCAUGAUUGAUGUGGCCAACCAACUAGGCCUCCCUUCUUACCUAUACUUCACCUCUGGUGCUGGUUUUCUUGGCCUCAUGCUCCCCCCCUCAACUCGCCAUAGCCAAAUCGACACUGAGUUUGAAGACUCGGAUCCUGAUCUGGAGCUCCCGAGUUUCGUC